AAGGAAGAUUAAUACUCCAUAAUAUAUUGAUGGCAUCAAUUAAUAUUGAAAGCUCCGGCGGAUAGAGAUGGGCACGCGCAAGAUUAGCUAGUUGGUGAGUAACGGCUCACCAAGGCGAUGAUCUUUAGGGGGCCUGAGAGGGUGAUCCCCCACACUGGUACUGAGACACGGACCAGACUCCUACGGGAGCAGCAGUGAGGAAUAUUGGUCAAUGGGUGCAAGCCUGAACCAGCCAUCGCGCGUGAAGGACGACUGCCCUAUGGGUUGUAACUUCUUUUGUAUAGGGAUAAACCUACCCUGUGAGGGUAGCUGAAGGUACUAUACGAAUAAGCACCGGCUAACUCCGUGCCAGCAGCCGCGGUAAUACGGAGGUGCAAGCGUUAUCCGGAUUUAUUGGGUUUAAAGGUCGUAGGCGGACUUAUAAGUCAGUGGUGAAGCCUGUCGCUUAACGAUAGAACUGCCAUUGAUACUUAAGUCUUGAGUAUAUUUGAGUAGCUGGAAUAAGUAGUGUAGCGGUGAAAUGCAUAGAUAUUACUUAGAACACCAAUUGCGAAGGCAGGUUACCAAGAUAUAACUGACGCUGAGGGCGAAAGCGUGGGGAGCGAACAGGAUUAGAUACCCUGGUAGUCAGCCGUAAACGAUGCUAAUCGUUAUUGGGCUGUAGGGUUCAGAGACCAAGCGAAAGUGAUAAGUUAGCCACCUGGGGAGUACGCUCGCAAGAGUGAAACUCAAAGAAUUGACGGGGGCCCGCACAGCGGUGGAUUAUGUGGUUUAAUUCGAUGAUACGCGAGGAACCUUACAAGCUUAAUGGGAAUUGACAGUUUUAGAAUAGAACUUCUUCGGACAAUUUUCAAGGGCGCAUGGUUGUCGUCAGCUCGGCCGUGAGGUGUUAGGUUAAGUCCUGCAACGAGCGCAACCCCUGUCCUAGUUGCAUCUUCAGUUGGGGACUCUAGUGAGACUGCCUACGCAAGUAGAGAGGAAGGUGGGGAUGACGUCAAAUCAUCACGGCCCUUACGCUUGGGCCACACACGUAAUACAAUGGCCGGUACAAGGGAGCUACACAGCGAUGUGAUGCAAUCUCGAAAGCCGGUCUCUUCGGAUUGGAGUCUGCAACUCGACUCUAUGAAGCUGGAAUCGCUAGUAAUCGCGCAUCAGCCAUGGGCGGUGAAUACGUUCCCGGGCCUUGU
rnacentral:rRNA from 1 species